UAAGGAGAAGGCUCUGGAAAGAUUCCCUGCUUCUCCUCUUUCCCCGUCUCCUCUGCUCCAUGGCCGCCGCCUUCCUCCGACUCCCUCGCCACAGUCGCCGCCGUCCUCCAUAGGUAACUCGUUCCAGUUCUGUUGCCAUCCGCUCCUCCGACCUCCACCGCAAACCAUCGCUCACCUCCUCCACCGCCGCCUGAGUCAACCUGCAUCCGCUACCCCCGGUCGCCUUCGAUCUCCCCAACAUCCAUCACCACUCUGACUCCACCACCGUCUGCGGCCGCAUCCCACCACCCUUGGCCCUACCCAGCAGGGCUGCCUUUUACGUGUUGCUUGCACCCCGUGCUCCCUCCUCCUCCAGAUCCGAGUCACUCCAAUCUACAUGCAUCAAGACGCCCCUAUUCUUCCGACAUGACAGCAGCUGAUCUGUUUUCUUGUGGUUGGCAAGCAAGCUUUCUUGAACCAAUGAUGAAAGAGUAUGUCGAUGCGGCAAAGUUUUGUGGUCAAAAUGGAUGGAGAAAGGAGUUGGGGCAUGACAAGCAAAACCUAUCUCAGUUAUUUACGAUGAGGGGAGUACAAAGAGGGCCUCUGUGUGAUUCUCCUUGACGCCUUCCCUGCUCUCCCUGCAUGGCUUUGCCUCGCUCCACAUCCAGGCCGACGCGAGAGGCAGCUCCGAUCUGUCAUCAAGGGAACACCCAUUCAUCUCAUAUUAGCUUGGAGGAUGGUGCUAUGCACAACCAUGCCGGCAAGGGCAACGCUGUAUGCUGCAAUGAUUGUGAGAACAUGAUUGGUAGUCUAGAUGAAUUGGAAACUUAUGAACUGAUAUGUAGGUGAUGGAUGAAAAUUUGGAGUGGUGCUUGUAUGGAUGUGUACAACUGUUAUGUUAUUGCCUUUGAGCAAGUAAACUUUUCACUUGUCUAUUAUAAGAUGUCAGAUCAUGGUUUAAUGGAUAGAUAUCUACUAUGAUUACACUGAUUUUGGAUGA